rnacentral:rRNA from 1 species
AUUGAACGCUGGCGGCAGGCCUAACACAUGCAAGUCGAGGGGAGCGGCGGACGGGUGAGUAAUGCCUAGGAAUCUGCCUGGUAGUGGGGGUUGACGUCCGGAAACGGGCGCAAAUACCGCAUACUAUCAGAUGAGCCGAGGUCGGAUUAGCUAGUUGGUGGGGUAAAGGGCUACCAAGGCGACGAUCCGUAACUGGUCUGAGAGGAUGCUCAGUCACGCUGGAACUGCGGCACGUUCCAGGCACCUACGUGAGGCAGCAGUGGGGAAUAUGGGACAAUGGGCGAAAGCCUGAUCCCGCCAUGCCGCGUGUGUUAAGGAGGUCUUCGGAUUGUAGAGCGCUUUAAGUUGGGAGGCGUUACCAACAGAAUAAUCACCGGCUAACUUCGUACCAGCAGCCGCGGUAAUUC